AAGGCUUGACAUAUACCGGAAAGCAUCAGAGAUGGUGCCCCCCUUGUGGUCGGUAUACAGGUGGUGCAUGGCUGUCGUCAGCUCGUGUCGUGAGAUGUUGGGUUAAGUCCCGCAACGAGCGCAACCCUUGUUCUGUGUUGCCAGCAUGCCCUUCGGGGUGAUGGGGACUCACAGGAGACUGCCGGGGUCAACUCGGAGGAAGGUGGGGAUGACGUUCGUCUGAC
rnacentral:misc_RNA from 1 species